rnacentral:rRNA from 1 species
GACGAACUGCCCAAACGCUAUUAGGAAUCACUGGGCUUAAAGGUUGCGUAGGCGGCGCGGAAAGUUGGGUGUGAAAUAACUCGGCUCAACCGAGGAAUUGCGCCCAAAACUACAGUGCUCGAGGGAGAUAGAGGUGAGCGGAACUUAGGGUGGAGCGGUGAAAUGCGUUGAUAUCCUAAGGAACACCGGUGGCGUAAGCAGCUCACUGGAUCUCUUCUGACGCUGAGGCACGAAAGCUAGGGUAGCGAACGGG